CGGGGCGAGGUUAACCGAAAGGGAGCCGGAGCGAAAGCGAGCCUUAACAGGGCGACUUGAGUCCCGCGCCGCGGACGCGAAGCCGGGUGAGCUAUCCGUGGGCAGGCUGAAGCGGGGGUAAGACCCCGUGGAGGGCCGAACGCACGUCGGUUGAAAACGGCGGCGAUGACCUGCGGAUAGGGGUGAAAGGCCAAUCAAACCCGGAGAUAUCUCGUUCUCCCCGAAAUAGCUUUAGGGCUAGCGUCGCGCGUUCACCGCCGGAGGUAGAGCACCGGAUGGACGAGGGGGCUUCGCCGCCUACCGAAUCCAACCGAACUCCGAAUGCCGGCGGCCCAGAGCGCGGCAGUCAGAGCAUGUGGGCUAAGCUGUGUGCUCGAGAGGGAAACAGCCCGGACCGCCCGCUAAGGUCCCCAAGUUCCAGCCGAGUGGCAAAGGAUGUGCGUCCGCCCAGACAACCAGGAUGUUGGCUUAGAAGCAGCCAUCCAUUCAAAGAGUGCGUAACAGCUCACUGGUCGAGUGGACAUGCGCCGACAAUACACGGGGCUAAGCUGGACACCGAAGCGGCGGGAUUUUAAUUCAUUAGAAUCGGUAGGGGAGCUUCCCAUGGGCGGGGAAGCCGCCGGGCGACCGGCGGUGGAGCGCAUGGGAGUGAGAAUGCUGGCAUGAGUAGCGAGAGACGAGAGAGUAACUCGUCCGCCGUGAACCCGAGGUUUCCUGGGCAAGGCUAAUCCUCCCAGGGUCAGUCGGGGGCUAAGGCGAGGCCGGGAGGCGUAGCCGACGCGCAGCAGGCAGACAUUCCUGCACCGCGCACGCGGCGCUACGACCGACGGGGCGACGGAUGGGGGUGGCUCGGCGGGGUUCUGGACGUCCCCGUGAUGGAGCGCGGCCCGCGGACCAGGGAAAUCCGGUCCGCACGAGGGCGAGGCUCCGGACGAAGCGACUGAGCGAAGCGAGUGAGCCCGAGGUCCCUAGAAAAACCCCUAGGCAGGCGCGUGCGCGCCCGUACCGCAAACCGACACAGGUGGGUGGGUAGAACAUACCGAGGCGAUCGGGUCAACCAUGGUCAAGGAACUCGGCACAAUGGCCCCGUAACUUCGGGAGAAGGGGUGCCCGCGCGUACGUGAACGGACUUGCUCCGGGAGCGGAGGCGGGCCGCAGUGGAGAGGCCCAAGCGACUGUUUACCAAAAACACAGGACUCUGCAGAAGCCGCAAGGCGACGUAUAGGGUCUGACGCCUGCCCGGUGCCGGAAGGUCACGCGGAGGAGUUAGCCGCAAGGCGAAGCCCCGAAGCCAAGCCCCGGUAAACGGCGGCCGUAACUAUAACGGUCCUAAGGUAGCGAAAUUCCUUGUCGGGUAAGUUCCGACCUGCACGAAAGGCGCAACGACUUGGGCGCUGUCUCGACCAUGGACCCGGUGAAAUUGCACUGGUCGUGAAGAUGCGACUUACCCGCGGAAGGACGGAAAGACCCCGUGAACCUUCACUGCAGCUUGGCAUUGGCCGCUGGUCCCGCGUGUAGAGGAUAGGCAGGAGGCAUCGAUCCGGAGGCGCCAGCCCCCGGGGAGCCGCCCUUGGAAUACUGCCCUCGCGCGACCGGCGUCCUAACCCGAGGCCGUCAACCGGCUCGGGGACCGUGCCAGGCGGGCAGUUUGACUGGGGCGGUCGCCUCCUAAAGGGUAACGGAGGCGCGCGAAGGUCCGCUCGGGACGGUCGGCAACCGUCCUUUUGAAUGCAAGAGUACAAGCGGGCUUGACUGCGAGGCCCACAAGCCGAGCAGGUGCGAAAGCAGGCUCUAGUGAUCCGGCGGCCCCGAGUGGGUGGGCCGUCGCUCAACGGAUAAAAGGUACUCCGGGGAUAACAGGCUGAUCUUGCCCAAGAGUCCACAUCGACGGCAAGGUUUGGCACCUCGAUGUCGGCUCAUCGCAUCCUGGGGCUGGAGCAGGUCCCAAGGGUACGGCUGUUCGCCGUUUAAAGCGGUACGCGAGCUGGGUUCAGAACGUCGUGAGACAGUUCGGUCCCUAUCCUCCGUGGGCGCAGGAGAAUCGAUGGAGGCUGCCCCCAGUACGAGAGGACCGGGGUGGACGCACCUCCGGUGAACCGGUUGUCGACCAACGGCACGGCCGGGUAGCCGCGUGCGGCGCGGAUAACCGCUGAAGGCAUCUAAGCGGGAAGCCGUUCCAGGGAUUAGUUCUCCUUCCGGUAAGGGCCCAGGUAGACUACCUGGUCGAUAGACGGCAGGUGCAAGGGCGGCGACGUCCUCAGCCGAGCCGCACUAAUCGCCCGAGCUCUUCCGGAA
rnacentral:rRNA from 1 species